rnacentral:rRNA from 1 species
CGGYYGGMAWKSSMUAUWMAUGCAARUCGAACASAGAKCUWCGAGAUCUAGUGGCGCACGGGUGCGUAACGCGUGSSUAAUCUGCCCUUGGGUUCGGAAUAACUUCUGGAAACGGAASCUAAUACCGGAUGAUGACGUAAGUCCAAAGAUUUAUCGCCCAAGGAUGAGCCCGCGUAGGAUUAGCUAGUUGGUGGGGUAAAGGCCCACCAAGGCGACGAUCCUUAGCUGGUCUGAGAGGAUGAUCAGCCACACUGGGACUGAGACACGGCCCAGACUCCUACGGGAGGCAGCAGUAGGGAAUAUUGGACAAUGGGCGAAAGCCUGAUCCAGCAAUGCCGCGUGAGUGAUGAAGGCCUUAGGGUUGUAAAGCUCUUUUACCCGGGAUGAUAAUGACAGUACCGGGAGAAUAAGCUCCGGCUAACUCCGUGCCAGCAGCCKCGGUAAUACGGAGGGAGCUAGCGUUGUUCGGAAUUACUGGGCGUAAAGCGCACGUAGGCGGCUAUUCAAGUCAGAGGUGAAAGCCCGGGGCUCAACCCCGGAACUGCCUUUGAAACUAGAUAGCUUGAAUCCAGGAGAGGUGAGUGGAAUUCCGAGUGUAGAGGUGAAAUUCGUAGAUAUUCGGAAGAACACCASUGGGCGAAGGCGGCUCACUGGACUGGUAUUGACGCUGAGGUGCGAAAGCGUGGGGGAGCAAACAGGAUUUAGAUACCCUGGUAGUCCACGCCGUAAACGAUGAUWACUAGCUGUCAGGGCACAUGGUGUUUUGGGUGGGSGCRGCUUWACGCAUUAAAUUWAUCCKCCUGGGGGAGUACCGGUCGCARGAUUAAAACUCMAAGGGAWUGGACGGGGGYCUUGCAYARRMGGUG